rnacentral:rRNA from 1 species
GCGGCUACCAUGCAAGUCGAGCGGUAGCACAGAGAGCUUGCUCUCGGGUGACGAGCGGCGGACUUUUUGAGUAAUGUCUGGGAAACUGCCUGAUGGAGGGGGAUAACUACUGGAAACGGUAGCUAAUACCGCAUGACCUCGCAAGACCAAAGUGGGGGACCUUCGGGCCUCAUGCCAUCAGAUGUGCCCAGAUGGGAUUAGCUAGUAGGUGGGGUAAUGGCUCACCUAGGCGACGAUCCCUAGCUGGUCUGAGAGGAUGACCAGCCACACUGGAACUGAGACACGGUCCAGACUCCUACGGGAGGCAGCAGUGGGGAAUAUUGCACAAUGGGCGCAAGCCUGAUGCAGCCAUGCCGCGUGUAUGAAGAAGGCCUUCGGGUUGUAAAGUACUUUCAGCGAGGAGGAAGGCAUUAAGGUUAAUAACCUUAGUGAUUGACGUUACUCGCAGAAGGAGCACCGGCUAACUCCGUGCCAGCAGCCGCGGUAAUACGGAGGGUGCAAGCGUUAAUCGGAAUUACUGGGCGUAAAG